GACGUGACUUCAGAGUUUGAUCCUGGCUCAGGACGAACGCUGGCGGCGUGCCUAACACAUGCAAGUCGAACGGAGUAAGGGUUUCGAUUCUUACUUAGUGGCGAACGGGUGAGUAACGCGUGAACAACCUGCCUUUCUGAGGGGGAUAACACCUGGAAACAAGUGCUAAUACCGCAUAAGACCACAUGUCCGCAUGGACGAGGGGUCAAAGGAGCGAUCCGCAGGAAGAGGGGUUCGCGUCCCAUUAGCUAGUUGGCGGGGCAACGGCCCACCAAGGCGACGAUGGGUAGCCGAGCUGAGAGGCUGAUCGGCCACACUGGAACUGAGACACGGUCCAG
rnacentral:rRNA from 1 species